GGCCUAUCAGCUUGUUGGUGGGGUAAUGGCCUACCAAGGCGACGACGGGUAGCCGGCCUGAGAGGGCGACCGGCCACACUGGGACUGAGACACGGCCCAGACUCCUACGGGAGGCAGCAGUGGGGAAUAUUGCACAAUGGGCGAAAGCCUGAUGCAGCGACGCCGCGUGAGGGAUGACGGCCUUCGGGUUGUAAACCUCUUUCAGCAGGGAAGAAGCGCAAGUGACGGUACCUGCAGAAGAAGCGCCGGCUAACUACGUGCCAGCAGCCGCGGUAAUACGUAGGGCGCAAGCGUUGUCCGGAAUUAUUGGGCGUAAAGAGCUCGUAGGCGGCUUGUCACGUCGGAUGUGAAAGCCCGGGGCUUAACCCCGGGUCUGCAUUCGAUACGGGCUAGCUAGAGUGUGGUAGGGGAGAUCGGAAUUCCUGGUGUAGCGGUGAAAUGCGCAGAUAUCAGGAGGAACACCGGUGGCGAAGGCGGAUCUCUGGGCCAUUACUGACGCUGAGGAGCGAAAGCGUGGGGAGCGAACAGGAUUAGAUACCCUGGUAGUCCACGCCGUAAACGUUGGGAACUAGGUGUUGGCGACAUUCCACGUCGUCGGUGCCGCAGCUAACGCAUUAAGUUCCCCGCCUGGGGAGUACGG
rnacentral:rRNA from 1 species